rnacentral:lncRNA from 1 species
AAUCAUUUGCAUCAGGAGACGUGGGAAGAGGUGAUGAGGGAGAAGAAUCUAAAAUAGGAGAUUCACCAUUUUCUUGGGGAGAUAGACUAUCCAUUGGGGCCUUGUGUGGGAUGAUCUCAGUAUGUGGAGAAACAGGCAUAGGAGGAUUGUGAUCAAGACUUUGAAUGAGAGAGAGUGGAGCUAUUUGACUCAACCACUAAAAUUGGAAGGACCUGCUCGAGGAUAGAAACAUCCUGAAUAUACGGAGAGAAGUAAGGAGUUUGUUCAAAGAAUGUGACUUUGGUAAACAUGUAAUACUUCUUAGUUUCAAGAGAG